GAGUUUGAUCGUGGCUCAGAUUGAACGCUGGCGGCAUGCCUUACACAUGCAAGUCGAACGGCAGCACGGGAGCUUGCUCCUGGUGGCGAGUGGCGAACGGGUGAGUAAUGCAUCGGAACGUAUCCUGGAGUGGGGGAUAACGUAGCGAAAGUUACGCUAAUACCGCAUAUUCUGUGAGCAGGAAAGCGGGGGACCUUCGGGCCUCGCGCUCUUGGAGCGGCCGAUGUCGGAUUAGCUAGUUGGUGAGGUAAAGGCUCGACCAAGGCGACGAUCCGUAGCAGGUCUGAGAGGAUGAUCUGCCGCACUGGAACUGAGACACGGUCCAGACUCCUACGGGAGGCAGCAGUGGGAUUUUGGACAAUGGGGGCAACCCUGAUCCAGCCAUGCCGCGUGAGUGAAGAAGGCCUCGGUGGUAAG
rnacentral:rRNA from 1 species